rnacentral:rRNA from 1 species
AUGGACAAACUAGCUAGCCAAGAAUGCUUCAACAGAGUCACUAAGAAACCGAAGGCUAUUUUUAUCCGAGUCUUAAAUAACAGUUUUAGGAAGGAGUGUGGCUAUUGCACAUGUAGCACUAAUGGACAUGAUGUUUUGAGUGACAUAUUGUCACGGUCAUCACUAAAAGAAGUCGUGAGGAUGAGCGUGGUUUCUAUUGACUGGACAUGGCUCAAGAUAUGCCACCCUGACCUUGUCAUCUCUGGUAGAUAUACAACCAGGAUUACUAACCGGGCAUCCACGAUUGCCGAAUUCAUUGCCAACGUGGACAGUGUAUUGUGCCCACUGUUCUCUACUUCUACGACAACUACCAUUAUGUUGGAUAAGUUGGCUUCGUGGGGGCAGGCGGGGAGGAGGAGAUGGACGAGGACGGCGCACGGAGGCGGGGGAGGAGGAGAUAGACGAGGACGGCGCACGGAGGCGGGGAAGGAGCAGGUGGUGCUGAUGUGGGGCUACCUCUCCGGCGUCUCGCUGCAGCGCUCGCUGCUGCUUCGCCCCGUGCCCGUAAGGUUGCCCCCGGCGGUGGCCGACGACGCCUGGAGGGAUGUCUGCGGCUGUGGGUGCGGCUUCACCAUGGCCAUCUCCGGUGACGCCUGA